GAAGGAGAAUAUAUUAGUCAUUUUGCUCAGGCUGCUGUAACAAAACACCACAGACUGAGUAGCUUAAACAACAGAGAUUUAUUUCUCACAGUUCUGGAAGCUGGAAGUCCAAGAUCUAGGUGCCAGCAAAUGUGGUUUCCAGUGAGGGUUCUCUUCCUGGCAGUUAUGAAGGUCAGAAGGUCACCAUCGAGGUGGUGACAUCACUGUUUUCCUUCUGGGGACUUUAGAGGAGAAAUCGUUUCUUUGCCCCUUCCAGCUUCUAGAGGACACCUACAUUUCUGACGCAUGGUCUCUUUCUCCAUCUUCAAAGCGCAUCACUCCACCCUCUGGCUCCAUCACCACAUCUCCUUUUCCUGAUUCUGACUCCUCCUGCAUCCCUCUUCAUCUUUGCCAAAUUGUCAUCAAGCCUCUACCUUCAUACCUUUGAUAAUGGAGAACUCACUGCUUUUCAAGACCUCCAUCUUAUGCUGAAGAGUUAAAAGUGUGUCCUUAUAGUAACCCCCAGUCUUUCCUUUUUUCAUCUCUUCUUGAUCCUAGCUUUACCCCUAGGGGCCACCACUUUCAGAAUGGCUCGGG